ensembl:snRNA LOC120095356 U6 spliceosomal RNA
AUGCUCGCUUCGGCAGCACAUAUACUAAAAUUGGAACGAUAUAGAGAGGAUUAGUAUGGUCCCUGUGCAAGGAUGACACACAAAUUCGUGAAGCGUUUUUU